AUUGAACGCUGGCGGCAGGCCUAACACAUGCAAGUCGAGCGAGCGGCGGACGGGUGAGUAAUGUAUGGGGAUCUGCCUGAUGGAGGGGGAUAACUACUGGAAACGGUAGCUAAUACCGCAUACCAUCAGAUGAACCCAUAUGGGAUUAGCUAGUAGGUGGGGUAACGGCUCACCAAGGCGACGAUCCGUAGCUGGUCUGAGAGGAUGAUCGGCCACACUGGGACUGAGACACGGCCCAGACUCCUACGGGAGGCAGCAGUGGGGAAUCUUCCACAAUGGGCGAAAGUCUGACCGAGCCACGCCGCGUGAAUGAAGAAGGUUUUCGGAUCGUAAAGCACUGUUAGCGGAGAGGCGUUAUCUGACCAAGAAGCACCGGCUAACUACGUGCCAGCAGCCGCGGUAAUAC
rnacentral:rRNA from 1 species